AUGCUGUCUGCUUCCUGCUCAGGACUUGUGAUCUUGUUGAUAUUCAGGAGGACCAAUGGAGACUCGGUGACCCAGACAGAAGGCCCAGUUACCCUCCCUGAGCGGGCAGCUCUGACACUAAACUGCACUUAUCAGUCCAGCUAUUCAGCUUUUCUAUUCUGGUAUGUCCAGUAUCUAAACAAAGAGCCUGAGCUCCUCCUGAGAAGUUCAGAAAACCAGGAGACGGACAGCAGAGGUUUUCAGGCCAGUCAUGUCAAGAGUGACAGUUCCUUCCACCUGGAGAAGCCCUCGGUGCAGCUGUCGGACUCUGCCGUGUACUACUGCGUUCUGAGAGACACAGUGGGUGGGACUGCAGCGAGAGCCCAGCACAAACCCCGGAGGCUGCAGGUGGGGCCUGAGUGUGAGCCGCUUACGAAAUUCUGCUACCUGAGUAAGUGCUAUGAGGAGAGUGUCCUGAUGAGAGGCUUUCCUUGUGCUAUUGGCACUGUGGUUUCAGAACAGCCCAGUCAGUAA